rnacentral:tRNA from 1 species
UAUGGCAGAUUAGUGCAUUGGACUUAAAUCCCAGAUAUAAAGUUUAAACUUUUAUUAGAA